rnacentral:lncRNA from 1 species
UCGUAUUUUACAAAGAGGUGUAUAUGCUAGUAUAUACACAUUCUCACUCCCCUAUCUCUUUCGGUUUAUUUAGACCAAUUCUUUAUCAUAUUUGACACGGCGUCUAAUUAUUUAUCAUUUUUGACACGGCGUCUAAUUCUUUAUUAUUUUUUAUUCUUAUCUUUAGUUUCUUUGUUUAUAUUACUCCUGCUCACUAAUAAAUGAGUAUAUUAUGGUGACAAAAAAUAAUUUAUAAAAUGAUAUAAUAAUGUAUAAUUAAUUGAUGAUUCAGAUUAGG